rnacentral:sRNA from 1 species
CAAUAGAAGGCUUGCAAGGGCGGCUGGCUAAUCUCCCGGAAGGGAGGUGAUGCCUGUGGAAGUAUACCAAGCAUUGACGCUAAUGAUUUCAUUUGCGACUCUGGUUGUAUUAAUCCUGUCCUUCCACAAAAAGAAAUAGGCCGCCCUCUGUCCAGGAUUGCGGCCUAUUUCUGUGGGUAGUACCUGUCUGAGCCUCCGCCCUUAAAAGCGGCUAUUGCAGGGGAGUCGUGUUAGCCGCACGACUC